rnacentral:lncRNA from 1 species
GGGGUAUGGUGGUAGGUGAAUGGGGUAUGGUGGUAGGUCAAUGGGGUAUGGUGGUAGGUAAAUGGGGUAUGGUGGUAGGUGAAUGGGGUAUGGUGGUAGGUGAAUGGGGUAUGGUGGUAGGUGAAUGGGGUAUGGUGGUAGGUGAAUGGGUAUGGUGGUAGGUGAACGGGGUAGUAGGUGAAUGGGGUAUGGUGGUAGGUGAAUGGGGUAUGGUGGUAGGUGAACAGGGUAGUAGGUGAAUGGGGUAUGGUGGUAGGUGAAUGGGGUAUGGUAGUAGGUGAAUGGGGUAUGGUGGUAGAUGAACAGGGUAUGGUAGUAGGUGAACGGGUAUGGUGGUAGGUUAACGGGGUAGUAGGUAAACGGGGUAUGGUGGUAGGAGAAUGGGGUAUGGUGGUAGGAGAAUGGGGUAUGGUGGUAGGUGAACGGGGUAUGGUGGUAGGUGAAUGGGGUAGUAGGUGAAGCAUUGGAGUCAACAUGGGCCAGCAUCCCUGGAGUCAACAUGAGCCAGCAUCCCUGGAGUCAACAUGGACCAGCAUCCCUGGAGUCACCAUGGACCAGCAUCCCUGGAGUCAACAUGGACCAGCAUCCCUG